rnacentral:rRNA from 1 species
CUACGGGCCGCUGCAGUGAGGAAUAUUGCACAAUGGGGGGAACCCUGAUGCAGCAACGCCGCGUGGAGGAUGACGCAUUUCGGUGUGUAAACUCCUUUUAUAUGUCAAGAAAAUGACGGUAGCAUAUGAAUAAGCACCGGCUAACUCCGUGCCAGCAGCCGCGGUAAUACGGAGGGUGCAAGCGUUACUCGGAAUCACUGGGCGUAAAGGACGCGUAGGCGGGUUGGAAAGUCAGGUGUGAAAUCCUACAGCUUAACUGUAGAACUGCACUUGAAACUUCUAAUCUAGAGUAUGGGAGGGGGAGAUGGAAUUAGUGGUGUAGGGGUAAAAUCCGUAGAUAUCACUAGGAAUACCUAAAGCGAAGGCGAUCUCCUGGAACAUUACUGACGCUGAGGUGCGAAGGCGUGGGGAGCAAACAGGAUUAGAUACCCCGGUAGUC